rnacentral:tRNA from 1 species
GCCUUCUUAACACAUAGUAGGUGGCGCAUCAGCCUCAUAAUCUGAAGGUCCUGAAUUCAAACCUCAGAGGGGGCA